rnacentral:rRNA from 1 species
CGCGGCCUAUCAGCUUGUUGGUGAGGUAAUGGCUCACCAAGGCGACGACGGGUAGCCGGCCUGAGAGGGUGACCGGCCACACUGGGACUGAGACACGGCCCAGACUCCUACGGGAGGCAGCAGUGGGGAAUAUUGCACAAUGGGCGAAAGCCUGAUGCAGCAACGCCGCGUGAGGGAUGACGGCCUUCGGGUUGUAAACCUCUUUUAGUAGGGAAGAAGCGAAAGUGACGGUACCUGCAGAAAAAGCACCGGCUAACUACGUGCCAGCAGCCGCGGUAAUACGUAGGGUGCAAGCGUUGUCCGGAAUUAUUGGGCGUAAAGAGCUCGUAGGCGGUUUGUCGCGUCUGCUGUGAAAUCCCGAGGCUCAACCUCGGGCUUGCAGUGGGUACGGGCAGACUAGAGUGCGGUAGGGGAGAUUGGAAUUCCUGGUGUAGCGGUGGAAUGCGCAGAUAUCAGGAGGAACACCGAUGGCGAAGGCAGAUCUCUGGGCCGUAACUGACGCUGAGGAGCGAAAGCGUGGGGAGCGAACAGGAUUAGAUAGAUCUG